UCAGGGUGAACGCUGGCGGCGUGCCUAACACAUGCAAGUCGAGCGGAGAUUUGGAAGUAGCAAUACGGAUGAAAUCUUAGCGGCGGACGGGUGAGUAACACGUGAGUAACCUGCCUUCUACAGGGGAAUAACACCGUGAAAACGGUGCUAAUACCGCAUAACAUCACACUGUGGCAUCACAGAGUGAUCAAAGGAGCAAUCCGGUAGGAGAUGGACUCGCGUCCGAUUAGCUAGUUGGCGGGGUAACGGCCCACCAAGGCGACGAUCGGUAGCCGAACUGAGAGGUUGAUCGGCCACAUUGGGACUGAGACACGGCCCAGACUCCUACGGGAGGCAGCAGUGGGGAAUAUUGGGCAAUGGGGCCGAAAGCCUGACCCAGCAACGCCGCGUGAAGGAAGAAGGCCUUCGGGUUGUAAACUUCUUUGAACAGGGACGAAACAAAUGACGGUACCUGAAAAACAAGCCACGGCUAACUACGUGCCAGCCGCCGC
rnacentral:rRNA from 1 species